rnacentral:rRNA from 1 species
GACAGAGGGGGCAAGCGUUGCUCGGAAUCACUGGGCGUAAAGGGCGCGUAGGCGGGAUGGCAAGUCGGUCGUGAAAUCCCUGGGCUCAACUCAGGGGGGGUCGGCCGAUACUGCCGUUCUUGAGGGAUGCAGAGGAGACUGGAAUUCCCGGUGUAGCGGUGAAAUGUGUAGAGAUCGGGAGGAACACCGGUGGCGAAGGCGGGUCUCUGGGCAUUCCCUGACGCUGAGGCGCGAAAGCGUGGGGAGCAAACGGG